UUUCGUCGGGGAAGAAAUGACUGUACCCGAAUAAGAAGGUCCGGCUAACUUCGUGCCAGCAGCCGCGGUAAUACGAAGGGACCUAGCGUAGUUCGGAAUUACUGGGCUUAAAGAGUUCGUAGGUGGUUGAAAAAGUUGGUGGUGAAAUCCCAGAGCUUAACUCUGGAACUGCCAUCAAAACUUUUCAGCUAGAGUAUGAUAGAGGAAAGCAGAAUUUCUAGUGUAGAGGUGAAAUUCGUAGAUAUUAGAAAGAAUACCAAUUGCGAAGGCAGCUUUCUGGAUCAUUACUGACACUGAGGAACGAAAGCAUGGGUAGCGAAGAGGAUUAGAUACCCUCGUAGUCCAUGCCGUAAACGAUGUGUGUUAGACGUUGGAAAUUUAUUUUCAGUGUCGCAGCGAAAGCGAUAAACACACCGCCUGGGGAGUACGACCGCAAGGUUAAAACUCAAAUGAAUUGACGGGGACCCGCACAAGUAGUGGAGCAUGUGGUUUAAUUCGAAGAUACGCGCAGAACCUUACCAACACUUGACAUGUUCGUCGCGACUUUAAGAGAUUAAAGUUUUCGGUUCGGCCGGACGAAACACAGGUGCUGCAUGGCUGUCGUCAGCUCGUGUCGUGAGAUGUUGGGUUAAGUCCCGCAACGAGCGCAACCCUCACUUUUAGUUGCCAUCAUUAAGUUGGGCACUCUGAAAGAACUGCCAGUGAUAAGCUGGAGGAAGGUGGGGAUGACGUCAAGUCCUCAUGGCCCUUACGUGUUGGGCUACACACGUGCUACAAUGGUAUCUACAACAGGAAGCAAAACUGCGAAGUUAAGCAAAUCCUUAAAAGAUACCUCAGUUCGGAUUGCACUCUGCAACUCGAGUGCAUGAAGCUGGAAUUACUAGUAAUCGUGGAUCAGCGUGCCACGGUGAAUGCGUU
rnacentral:rRNA from 1 species